GAGAAUUGAGGAUUAAUCUAAAAGAAGCUGCUAACUAUCUUUUAAGGCAGUUAAACUCUGUCUAAAUCUCU
rnacentral:tRNA from 1 species